AUAGAUACCCCGGUAGUCCAUGCCGUAAACGUUGGGAACUAGAUGUAGGGCCUGUUCCACGGGUUCUGUGUCGUAGCUAACGCAUUAAGUUCCCCGCCUGGGGAGUACGGCCGCAAGGCUAAAACUCAAAGGAAUUGACGGGGGCCCGCACAAGCGGCGGAGCAUGCGGAUUAAUUCGAUGCAACGCGAAGAACCUUACCAAGGCUUGACAUGUGGAAGAACACCGCAGAGAUGCGGGACUCUUUGGACACUUCUAUACAGGUGGUGCAUGGUUGUCGUCAGCUCGUGUCGUGAGAUGUUCGGUUAAGUCCGGCAACGAGCGCAACCCUCGUCCUAUGUUGCCAGCACGUUAUGGUGGGAACUCAUGGGAUACUGCCGUGGUCAACACGGAGGAAGGUGGGGAUGACGUCAAAUCAUCAUGCCCCUUAUGUCUUGGGCUUCACGCAUGCUACAAUGGCCGGUACAAAGGGCUGCGAUACCGUAAGGUGGAGCGAAUCCCAAAAAGCCGGUCUCAGUUCGGAUUGGGGUCUGCAACUCCG
rnacentral:rRNA from 1 species